rnacentral:lncRNA from 1 species
CCACUCAAAGUUUGUACAAGUCAGGUCACUGCUGCCACAGAAAACAAAAAGCAAACAUACCAAAAUAAAAACAAAAGAAAAAUUGCAAAGUUACUGUAAAACUCUCAUGCAAAUUAAAGUAGAGGAUGUCUUCACCAGUUAUGAUAGCUAAAAGAACAGGUUGACAUACACACCUUUAACCACUAAAAGGAAAGCAUUUUUACCCUGUCGGUCAUCUGUUGUAACUCUGACCCCUUCUGAUUAAAAACACGGUUGUUCCUUUCCUUCCAAAUAACCCAGACACAUGCAAGCCAGUUUAGUUUUAGAAAGAAUAUGUGAAUCGC